AUUGAACGCUGGCGGCAGGCCUAACACAUGCAAGUCGAACGAGUGGCGGACGGGUGAGUAAUGUCUGGGAAACUGCCUGAUGGAGGGGGAUAACUACUGGAAACGGUAGCUAAUAACGCAUACCAUCGGAUGUUCCCAGAUGGGCUUAGCUAGUAGGUGGGUUAACGGCUCACCUAGGCGACGAGCCCUAGCUGGUCUUAGAGGAUGACCAGCCACACGGGAACUGAGAAACUGUCCAGAUUCCUACGGGAGGCAGCAGUGGGGAAUAUUGCACAAUGGGCGCAAGCCUGAUGCAGCCAUGCCGCGGGUAUGAAGAAGGCCUUCGGGUUGUAAAGUACUUUCAGCGGGGAGGCGUUACCCGCAGAAGAAGCACCGGCUAACUCCGUGCCAGCAGCCGCGGUAAUUC
rnacentral:rRNA from 1 species